rnacentral:rRNA from 1 species
GACGUAGGGCGCGAGCGUUUGUCCGGAUUUAUUGGGCGUAAAGAGCUCGUAGGCGGCUUGUUGCGUCGGCUGUGAAGACCCAUGGCUUAACCGUGGGCUUGCAGCCGAUACGGGCAGGCUAGAGUUCGGUAGGGGAGACUGGAAUUCCUGGUGUAGCGGUGAAAUGCGCAGAUAUCAGGAGGAACACCUGUGGUGUAGACAGCUUACUGGACCACUUCUGACGCUGAGACACGAAAGCGUGGGUAGCAAACAGG